rnacentral:ncRNA from 1 species
AAGAGCCGCGGUGAAACGGGAAGCCGGUGCGCGAGACCACUGAGUCUUUCAAACCCGGCACUGCCCCCGCAACGGUAAGUAAGUUUGGGUAGCAACUGCCACUGCGACAACGAGUCGCGGGAAGGCGCUACUUUCGAGAGAUUUGUUCUCGCUUACGAGUCCGGAGACCGGCCAGUUAGCUUU